rnacentral:tRNA from 1 species
UUGGAGGUAAACUAAUUUGUAAGUUACCUGACUCAUAAUUAGGGUAUGGUUAAGUAGCCCCUCUAUG